CGGGACGGGUGAGUAAUGUCUGGGAAACUGCCUGAUGGAGGGGGAUAACUACUGGAAACGGUAGCUAAUACCGCAUAACGUCGCAAGACCAAAGAGGGGGACCUUAGGGCCUCUUGCCAUCGGAUGUGCCCAGAUGGGAUUAGCUAGUAGGUGGGGUAACGGCUCACCUAGGCGACGAUCCCCAGCUGGUCUGAGAGGAUGACCAGCCACACUGGAACUGAGACACGGUCCAG
rnacentral:rRNA from 1 species